GUGACUCAUUCAUCACACAACAGUCUACUUUAAGCUUGCCCGACGUCUAGGUGACUCAUUCAUCACACAAAAGUCUACUUUUAGGGGCUUGCAUGACGCCCAGGUGACUCAUUCAUCACACAACAGUCUACUUCAGGCUUGCGUGAGCCCAGGUGACUCAUUCAUCACACAACAGUCUACUUCAGGCUUGCGUGAGCCCAGGUGACUCAUUCAUCACACAACAGUCUACUUCAGGCUUGCGUGAGCCCAGGUGACUCAUUCAUCACACAACAGUCUACUUUAAGCUUGCACGACGUCUAGGUGACUCAUUCAUCACACAAAAGUCUACUUUAAGGGGCUUGCAUGACGCCCAGGUGACUCAUUCAUCACACAACAGUCUACUUCAGGCUUGCAUGACGCCCAGGUGACUCAUUCAUC